rnacentral:rRNA from 1 species
GACGAACGCUGGCGGCGUGCUUAAUACAUGCAAGUCGAACGGAAAGACGCUGCUCUUGUUUGGUGCUCGAGUGGCGAACGGGUGAGUAACACGUGAGUAACCUCUCCUUAUCUUUGUGAUAACUUCUGGGAACUGGGGCGAAUACCGGAUAUGAUAUCCUGCUGCAUGGUGGUGGAUGGAGAGUGUCGGCGGUGGUGGAUGUUCUCGAGGGUUAUCCGCUGGUUGGUCGGGUAGUUGCUUACCAGGCCUAUGACGGGUAGGCGGCCUGAGCGGGUUACCGGGCACAUGGGGACUGAGGUAGGGACCAGACUCGUACGGGCGGCAGUAGUCGGAAAUAUUGCGCAGUGGGCGGACGCCUGAGGCAGAAACGUCGGGUGCGGGAUGACGGCCUAUGGGGUGUAAACCGAUUUGGAAUGAGACGAAGCGUGAGUGACGGUAAUUAGUAAGGAAGCAACGGCUAACUACGUG